GGGCCUUUGAGAAAACUUCCUUGUGCGCUCGAGCCUUGGUUCUCACCGUGUUCCUGUCUGUCACGUGUGUUUCACGGGUUUGAAAUAAGUCACUGGAGCUUUGUGGUCACAGUUGAGCACUUUGUAUUUCCCGUGUGACCAAUCGUGCUUCAUUUCCUGAGCUUCUAAAGGAGGACAUCAUUAAUUUGUGAGGGCAAUGUUCUGAAUGCCUCCAGAAUAUUCACGUAGUGAAGACUGAAUGGCAAUAUCUUACCAGUCAGAGAUGUGUUGCUGAGAGCCAGUCUCAUCCUCCUCAAGCAAUUGCAUUCAUUGCUUCACAACACCAGCCAAAACUCCUCAGCCAGCACAAUGAGUUCCAGCAACCUCACCAUCUGUGUUGCACCAAAUCUACUGAGCCCAGCUGAGGACAAUCUGCUCCUACAAGAAGCACUGAUGGAGUUCCCUGACAAGUUGCAGGAGGGUUUCUGAUACGUAUUUUUCCACCUUCCCGGUCCAUCCAACUUUUUGUAGCCAUGCAGAGACAAGCGAACAGAAAAGCUAAAACAGGAGGCCUUACACAAAGACUCAAUAAAUUCUGCCAGCCAGACUGACUCUCCA
rnacentral:lncRNA from 1 species